rnacentral:rRNA from 1 species
AUAGGAAGAAAUAAGGCAUCUUUUUUCUUUUAAAAGACCUAGUGAUAGGUAUACUUUAGGAGGGGCUUGCGCCAUAUUAGUUAGUUGGUAGGGUAAUGGCCUACCAAGACGAUGAUGUGUAGCUGGACUGAGAGGUUGAACAGCCACAUUGGGACUGAGACACGGCCCAAACUCCUACGGGAGGCAGCAGUAAGGAAUUUUCGGCAAUGGAGGAAACUCUGACCGAGCAACGCCGCGUGAACGACGAAGUACUUUGGUAUGUAAAGUUCUUUUAUCAAGGAAGAAAAGCAAGUGGCGAACCAUUUGUUUGCCGGUACUUGAUGAAUAAGCCCCGGCUAAUUAUGUGCCAGCAGCCGCGGUAAGACAUAAGGGGCAAGUGUUAUCCGGAAUUAUUGGGCGUAAAGGGUGCGUAGGCGGUCUAGUAAGUCAGUGGUGUAAUGGCAACGCUCAACGUUGUCCGGCUAUUGAAACUGCUAAACUUGAGUUAGAUAGAGGCGAGUGGAAUUCCAUGUGUAGCGGUAAAAUGCGUAAAUAUAUGGAGGAACACCAGAGGCGUAGGCGGCUCGCUGGGUCUUAACUGACGCUGAGGCACGAAAGCGUGGGGAGCAAACAGGAUUAGAUACCCUGGUAGUCCACGCCGUAAACGAUGAGUACUAAGUGUCGGGUUAAACCGGUACUGAAGUUAACACAUUAAGUACUCCGCCUGAGUAGUACGUACGCAAGUAUGAAACUUAAAGGAAUUGACGGGACUCCGCACAAGCGGUGGAUCAUGUUGUUUAAUUCGAAGAUACCCGAAAAACCUUACCAGGUCUUGACAUGUUUUUGCGAAACGGUAGUAAUAUCGUAGAGGUUAUCAGAAACACAGGUGGUGCAUGGUUGUCGUCAGCUCGUGUCGUGAGAUGUUAGGUUAAGUCCUAAAACGAGCGAAACCCUUAUCGUUAGUUGCCAGCACGUUAUGGUGGGGACUUUAACGAGACUGCCAGUGAUAAACUGGAGGAAGGUGAGGAUCACGUCAAAUCAGCAUGCCCCUUAUGACCUGGGCUACAAACGUGAUACAAUGGCUGUUACAAAGGGUAGCUGAAACGUAAGUUCUUGGCCAAUCCCCAAAAACAGUCUCAGUCCGGAUUGAAGUCUGCAACUCGACUUCAUGAAGUGGAAUCGCUAGUAAUCGCGAAUCAGCAUGUCGCGGUGAAUACGUUCU